UCUCCGUUGGUGAACCAGCGGAGGGAUCAUUACCGAGUUUACAAACUCCCAAACCCUUUGUGAACCUUACCAUAUCGUUGCUUCGGCGGGACCGCCCCGGCGCCUUCGGGCAACGGAACCAGGCGCCCGCCGGAGGCCCCAAACUCUUAUGUCUUUAGUGGUUUUCUCCUCUGAGUGACACAUAAACAAAUAAAUAAAAACUUUCAACAACGGAUCUCUUGGUUCUGGCAUCGAUGAAGAACGCAGC
rnacentral:misc_RNA from 1 species